GGGAAAGCUCUGCAGCUUAAUGGGUUAAAGGUUUGUGAAAUCUGCGAUGCCAACAAUUCAAGAAAAGCUAAUAACUUGCAAACCAGACGCCAGAAUAUAUUUAUAACAAGAAACCCAUGUAAUGAAAUCUUAGUGAAUUACAUAUUAGUGAAAUUUUGAAAAACAAUAAAAGUGACAUCAUUAGUUGCCGAAUAUAUGCUUAUUAUUAAAGUGUGACUCGAUAAUAUUGUUGGCUGAACCAUUGCUACAAACCAUUGCUUUUAAAUCGAGUGAUUGUAGCCAUUUGUUGGCAUUGUAAGAAAGAUACUGCAUCUGUUUUAUUUUGUAUUAUUAAUUUUGUAUCACAAUGAAUGUUUGUGAUGAAUGUUUAUGACAAUUAGCCAUUUCGAAGUUGAUGAGUGGACUGG